rnacentral:lncRNA from 1 species
AAACCAUUGCCCAGUUCAAGAACUCCUGACAUAGCACAUUCCAGCAAUUGAGACCAUUGCCUAGAUUAGAUUUAAGUAAGGCAAACAGUAUAGCUGCACAUAGUGUGAUUAUGCAACAUCAAUCUGAUUCAGUCACUCAAGAUAAUGCCUCACUCCAGUACACACUUACAAAAUAGACGCGUCAUUAAAAUCUACACCUUUAUAUACAUCAGCCAUUGAGCACAUAGCUCCAGUAAGCUUAUAACUUCAGAAGUCUGGCACCAAGAACUAAUAGCUCCAUUACUCUAGCCAAGAACACACCAAUGGAAUAAUUUUAGUCCUAAACUUGUAGAAGUCAGUAGGGCCACCAAGCAACCUGAAACAAAAAAGUUUAAUUGGUCAAGCCGUAGGAAACAUCGAUGAAAAUAUACAAAACAAAAUAUAAACAAAAUUUUAAUACUAAUCUAUGAAUAUAGUUACACCAGUGUGUGUUGUAUUUAUUAGCAAGCAAAAUUUUAGAACUAUUCUCUAAACUAAGUCCAUAGGAAUGUACCAUAAUCAUGUCUGUUGCAUUUCCUUGUCCUUGUUCUUGUUCUUCUCUUUCUGUCUUUGCUUUCCACCCUUAUCCCUGUACCCCUUUAGUCUUUUGAUUCUACCCCUUGAUCGAAUAUCAUUUGGAGGAUGGAUAUGAACCUCACUUGGAAUGGAGCAACCUAAAAAUUCCUCAAAUUCUUCUGUUUGAGUUUGUUU